UUUGCCAUUACCAAAGGAUGCCAAGCAGUAGUUGUGUGAAAAUCUAUUGGAGACAUGGGAUUAAUAUUCUUGUCAGGAAUGAGAUAUGGGAUGUUCAAAGAGUACUAAAUAUAAAAUAUGGCUUUCUGAUUCUCUGCGCUUACGUCCUGCUGACUUGCAAAAUUUGCGAUACCAUCUCAUGGAAUUUCAGACAUCAGAGUCAAGACACACAAGAUGGGCGUUACAAGACGCUACAGGCAUUACAGCUUUUGUCACCAGUACCCAGCUCUAUUUCCCCUGAACCACCACGACCCAGUCCUACAGCGAGCAGUGCAAUAAACAACCCCCUUCAUUCAAAAAAAUAAUGGCUCUGCUGACAAGUGUAAAGGAUUCCUGCUUCUGUGUUUAAUAUUCAUAAAUCAACAGCCCCAGCUGUAGCCCACAGAUGAUUCUUGAGUAUCUUUUGUGUGCUCGUUACUCACAGGAUGGGGUUUAGACUGGGUGGGUGAGAUUCCCUUAAUUCAGUUUCUUAAUACUCCAGUUUUGACAGAGGGAAGAGGAGAAGAAACACUCUCACAAGAGAGCAGUUUCAUUUCUGGGGUACAUUAUCAGUUUUGAGGGAGUUGCCAUGGUUGAACAGCAGGUGGAAUCCAUACUGAACUGGCCAGAUCCCACCACGUAAAGGAACUUCAAUGACUCCUAGGAUUUGCUCAUUUUUACAGACGUUUCAUGAACUCGAAACUGCUAAAACCUUGAUGGAACAGGUUUUCCAUUAUAAUGGACUCCCGGAUGAUAUUGUUUCUGACCAAGAACAUCGAAUUCACAUCCUGAGACUGGAAGGCAUUCUGUCAGCAUCUCAAAAUUAAUGUGAGUUUGACAUAUGGCUACCAUCCCCAAACUAACAGGCAGGUUGAGAUUGCCCAAUUCCUUUGACUUACUGUCAUCAUAACCAGAAUGAAUGGAGCAGAUAUAUAAUCUGGGGGGAGUAUGCUCCACAAGCCAUCCACCGGUCUCACUCCCUUCUAAUGUGUCCUCGGAUUCAAACCACCCCUGUUCCCCUGGUAGGGAAAUCAUCUUCUGAUGUCUCACUAUUCACAAUCUUUGUUCACCCUGGAACAACAUUGUGAUUAGUGAAUCGGAUUUGAAGAACCGAUUUAUAGUUUUUGUGAAAGUUUGGGUUUUCAGUGUACAUCAGUAUCAAUUAUCUAUGAUGAUCACAUUUUCAAUUACUCAUGGAUAAGGUUAGGUUUAACUGUAGAGAUAUGGUCAAGAUUAAUUUUUUUCAUUCAAAUGUUGUUCCAGGGUCAACAAAACAUGUUGACCUAAGAACUUGUUGAACUCAGCAAAAUCAUGACAUGCCAGUACUCUCUCUGCCUGUAUCUUAUAUUUCCACUUACUCAUCUGAAUGUAACAGCCAUUCUUCUAACCCUUGAGAGUGGUAUCCUUUCAUUUUAGGUUCAAACUCCUCAACACAGUAAGCUGUGAUGUAUUUACACAUUCUGUUAGCCCUAUCCUUUCCUCAAAUAACCAUCUUUGUCUUUUAAUAAUAUUCUUGAAAUAUUCACCCAAGGCUCUUUUCUCCCAGACUCUUACCUGGUCUCACCAGGUAUAUCCCUGUAUUGAGAUGCUGCUGGAUUUUCUCUGGGCUUUUUCACCUUCCAUAGUGGAGCAUCCCCUUCAUCAACUCUACAGCCCUUCUAGACCUCUCUAGGUCCCACAAGUAGCUAUCCCAUUUCAUGGCCCAUCAGUCGUUCAGACUGUAAAACUAAUACCCUCAAGAUUAGUAUUACUGAUGUCUUUCUGGAUUGGUCUAAGUGGGUCUUACUGGCAUCUCUUUAUUGUGGUAUCUAGACUUUUAAUUUAAAACUCAAACCUCAAGCUCCGCAGUUGGGCACACAUUUUAACCUAUGAUUAAUCAGGCAUCGAAAGGAUAGUUUUGUGAAAGAGGACAUAGACCCCAUGUCUAAACUACAUUAAGAGGACAAAUGAUCUGUUUAAUGUGUAAGAUGACCUUAAAAAAAAGAUUGCUUGUUUAGUUUUUAGCAAUGCCACAUAAACGGACUGUCAUUUAACUGAUCAAUAAAAAUCGAUUCUGCUGUUGUACUUUUGGGAGGUGUGAAAAACUUUUUCUUGUGGUUCAGACGUGAUUGUUUAAAAGGAAAAUGGUUUGAUCUUUAUAAUUAAAACCGCAGUAAUGGUUUAAUCAGUAAAGAGAUGUUAAAGAUUUAUUAAAUAUAACCUUCGUUCUAAAGUUAAAACAUUACUUUGCUUAAAUCUGUCUCUGUGCCGGUCUCUGCAGCGUGUAUGUUAGGGCAGGAGUUAGUGGGUGUGGUUUAAGAGCAGAUGCUUGUUCAUUCUGCAUUUAACAUAAGCGUGUGAGGAACCUGUCUCUGCAUCUUGGUGAACCUGUCUCUGCAUACUUGUGGAUUCUUUUUUCUCUUUGUUUAACUUUUCUAUCUUGUAAAAAACUAUAUCUGCAACGUAGAUUUUGACGAUCACCUCUAAUACUUCUUUUGUUUUCAGAUUGCGGUAAGCUGGUCAAAUCUACUUUAUUUUAUUUAACUUUGUAUCUGUAACAAACUCUACCUUUUAAAAUUGUUGUGUUAGACUACAGGGUUAUAACAACUAUCUUAUGCUGUUGUUUUAAAGGAUCUAUGUGCUCCUUUGCUUUUUUGUUUUUGAUUUUCUGUUUUAUUUUGUCUACAUAACAAACUCUAACCAACUUCUUUUAAAAGAGACUAACAUAGAUUCAGUCAUGUAUCUUACUGCUUUAACAACCACAGAUAAUACUUUUGCUUUAGAUGUUCCAAUCUUUUUCUGUCAAAAUACACAUUGAUUUUAUCCUAAAUGUAUAUUCAAUUAUUUGUACAAAUUAUAAAUUAUUAUAAUAUUAUGAUUCCCAAAUACAAUUUAAAGGAAUCAUAAUAUAUAUUUGUCUUGUCUGGUAUCCAAAAAUACCCAAAACAAGCGUUUAACCAUCAAUCAAGUUGAAGUUGACAGAGAAAAGACAGAGAAAAGCAGAAACAGCAGACAAAGUGAUAACGGUAAAGACUGUUUAUUGAACAAUCUAAGUUUAGUAUGUCCUAAUGUUCAAACUUCAUCUGAUGAGCACAAAUUCAGCAAGUACUCUUCUAUUAAAACUGCUUCACAGCAACAUCCCAUAAACCUUGGGUUUCCAUAAAAAUUCCCUAUUAUCUAUUCACGCAAACAAAACAGUUCAUUAAACCCCACAAGCACGAGACUGAAUAACAAUGAAUAAGCAUAAGCUAGGGAAAAGUAAUGAGAAAUAUAAAAUAUGUCAUAGAAACAUAAUGAAAGAAUAAACAAAAAUAG